CGCAAAUAAAACGAUGACCAUAAGCAUACCUCUUUGUUCAAUUGAUCUGAUUCGUGGGAGGCUUGUUGCAGCUAAAUCUUUGCUUGAAUUCGGUGUGAAGGUCCCGAGUGAUGUAAAGCUAUUGAAUUUGAGACUGUGUGAACCUAACGAUAUUAUGACUCUUAUUCAUAUGGAUGGGUUUUAGCUUAUAAUUGGGCUCAUAGAGCUAAAGUUAUAAGACGUCUAGCGUAAUGCUUGAUGGGCUGCAAGGGUGGAAAGAUGGAUGAGGUCUUUCAAAUUCUAUUAGGAUAACUAUAUAUUUGUACAAGAUCUAGCAUGCAUUGAAGCACGAGCAGCCUCACUAUAAUCACUCCAUUUGUGAUAAAUGAUUAUCUCAUCCUUAACUCGGUCAGCCAGUCGAGAAUCUUUCUUUCCUAUUCGCUUGUCUUUCUCUGAGCUUUGCGGAGUCAACCUUAGAAGCGAAGAGGUCCAUGGAAGGUCUUGGCUAAGUUAGAUUACAAGGUUGCAAAGCAACAAUGCUGGGACUUGCUUCAUAGGCUGGGUCUACUUCAAUGUUUUGAUGAAUUAUGUGAGGUGGGGCAGCUUUCCGGGAUAUUCACUAGAGAGAUCUUCCCCAGCGAAGAUCUUGUUGUGUUGUAAAGGCAGUUUGCACCCCUAUUCUCAUCCUCACCUGGUCAUUUGCACACUGAUAUUUUUCAUGUAAUUGUCCAUUUAUAGCAAAAAUGAACUAGGACUCCUAUUUGGGGAGGACUAAAAUGGACUCAAAUAGAAAUCCAAUCCUACUUGUUUCGA